AUGCAGAUCAUCAUCCCAGGUCUUUACGAACUACUGGGCAUCCAAGAUGCUGCCUCCUCUCCAUUGUCACAGAGAUCUCUCACAGCGUCACUCACCAGUCUGUUAGACGAUAAGGUUAACACCAAGUCCCGCGUGAGAUUUACUGAGGCUGGUGUACCUAAGAGGCCAGGCAGUCGAAAGUCUUACAAUAGCUUUCGCAUCCCGACUCCCUACCCUUCCUCCAACUGUAUGGAUCAGGAAGAGGAAGAAGAGCAGGAAUCACAACAACUUAAGUUCAAGGAGAUGUACCUGACUAAGGAGAUGGGCAGUCUGGGCAGUGGAAGCUACUGCCCAAAACCAUUGCCCAAGCCAGCCAUGAGAACCUCUCUGUCUGAUGUGCAGAAGAAGACAACCAACUCUGACUCGCUACAAGUCCUCUUAGGUGUCUCAGAGGACACCCUCGUCACCUGUGUGCAGGACAGCCUGCAAGGUUCUCUCUCCAAACUUGCAUGCAUGUCCAAUUCUCCAUCUGGAAGUGCAGGCUCUCCGAAGAUGACCCCUGCUGUAAUGGCAGAAGUGAUUAAAGAUGUCAAGUCGGCCGUAUCAGUAGUCGUUAAGAGUGCCUCCGCUAGCCAAACCUCUCAAGUGACACCGGUAAGGGGAGACUCACAGACCAAGGUGACUGAGAGCAUGGUGAGAGAGCUGGCUGCUAAACUUGAAAAAGUUGACCAAGAGAGCAAGAGUCUAACAGGGCAAGUCAUGACCAUGAUCUCUGACACAAUGGUGGCUUUUGUUGACGAGAACGAACAGAAUUUGCUGAAAGAUCUGAAGGACAAGAUCACGUUUUUGGCAUCGCAUGUUGGCUUCAUUGACGAUCUUGAUGCCCUGAUAAGGAAAUACGAGAGCAGCUACAAUAUUGGUGAAUCUGGUUCCUCCUGCACGCUCACAUCUAAGAGCAUCCAAAAACUCUCCAGCCGGGAGUUUCAAACAUCAGCAAUACAAGCAGUGAGUGGAGUUCUUGCCAAAAAAGUCAGUAGUUUGAGCUUUCCUAGUUCAGUCGUUCAGUCUGAGUUAACAGGUGCUGUAUCAGGUCAAACAUUGUCUGGCAUUGUAAAGACAGAGUCAAUUCACCCAGUGGGCUCAGCAGCGUCAGUAGUUGUUAAGACUUUCGUGUCAGAUAUGAAGUCCUUGGCUGAAUCUGAAGAGAGUCCCCAACAGAAGAGUGCCUGGUCUGCUGCUGUUCACAUUUACAACAGCAUCCAAAACAACUUGAAAGAUUAUUUCGGCAAGCUUCAGAGAUUUGCCCUAAAGAGCAUUGUCACAUCUGAUGACAACAUCACAACUUGCACCAAAGAAGUCAUCUCAGAGCUUCUGGUCUUGUACAAGACUGAAAUGUCAAAGGAGGACCCCCUGUACACUGUUGGAGAAAAAGGAUCAGACUUCUCUAUUGAGAGACAACAAUUUGUAGAGGGCGUUCUGGCUCAGCUUGGGGAUAUCUCCCAUUCCAGGGCCUCAUCACCAAUAGUAUAUGAGUUCCCCUGUCAAAUUGAGGACAGCAGAAGUAAGGCCACAGCUUCUUUGACCAGUCUGUUAGAUUGCAUGAAAAAACUCUCAAGUGAGGAAUUCAAGAGAGACACCACUCAAGCAGUGAGUGAGUUCCUAGUUAAAAAGUCCAACAGUAGCUUAACUAGUGCACAGCCUGCUUAUUCUGUAGCAUCCAGGUCUUGUUCCGUUCAAAGCCAGAGAACCUUGUCAAAGGAUAUUUGUGCGGAUUCUGCUGCCUUUGGCAUCAUUGACACAUUUGUGGAAGACCUGCAGAGCUCGGCGCAACCUGCAGAAGUAGAGGAGAGAGAACCUGACCUCCAGGAAAAUGCACAAAAGCGAAAGAGCAGGAUCUGGUCUGCUACUACUAGUUUAUAUAAAAAUAUUAAGAAGACAUUAAAGGGCUUCACCAUUCACCGGCGGAGGUCAGACGUGCAGAGAAGAAUGUCUAGCCAUACAACCACAGAGGACUGUGGACAUCUUGUGACUAAGGAGUACCUUGGUUUGGCAAGCCAGAACUUGACGCAAGCUAGUAAGAGUGUGCCUCACUUGCCCAGUUUGAACCAGGAAGUGACUCUACACAUGGGUGUCAGCGAGAGUUCAAAACUUCUCUGGACUGAAACAGACGAGGGUCUAAUGAACAAUAGUACCAAACAGGUCAUUUCAACAAUCUUGACCUCAUGCGAGGAUCCAACAUCAAAUGCACCUUGCUUCUCCACAGUAGGAAAGAAAAUAUCUGAUAUGUCCCUUGAGGUCAACAUAUUGGUAGGUGGUGUUCUGUCUCAGCUGAAGGACAUCUCCUUGUCAAGGUCCCCAACACCAUGUGAAGGCAUGUUUGAACGUCUCCAAGGUUCUCCUGAGCGAACCUCUCCAGUAAGUCUAGAUUGCAGCACGGCUGCUUCCAAAGGCAUUGCAUCUUCCCACAGUCUUUCAACAAAGAGCCUCCAAAAACUUUCUAGUCAUGAGUUCCAAACCAAAGCUGAGAAAGGAGUGAGUGAGGUCCUCUCUAGAUCAUUUAACAUUGUGGAGGAAGGUACAACAGAUAAGUACCUCCAGUCUGUAUCUACAUCUACUGAUAUUAUACAAACCAUAGUGAAAGAUCUGCAGGAGCUCACCCAGACCACCCAAUCAUCUGACAUGGUAUCUGGAACCUCCCUGCUCACCACUGGACAGGUUUCUGAGAAAAGGAUCUGGUCUGUUGCUCGUAACAUCUACUACAGUCUGCAAAGUAAGAUUACGGAGUUUCUCAGAAAAGAUCUUCAAAUGUCAGACACAACACUUGGUUCAAUCCAAAUAUUUACAUAUCAAAGCAGUCCUGCUUCACAAAGAGCAAGUCUCUGCCAUCUUGAGGUCAACCAGAGCAGUGUUACACCUGGUGGAAACGAUGCCUGUGUGGACAUUCCGCACAAAUUACUACCUAAAACCACUGAGCUCUCAGGAUCCAUGCUGGAGGAUAUUGGCACGAUCCGUUGUAGGAGUGCUGACAGCCAAAAUACAAGAAAUACCUCUUCUUCACGCUCCUCCAUCUCUCUAACACCUACUUCAAAAUCAAAGCAGUCAGAAUGGGACUUUACCUUGCCCGGUACUCCCAUCCCCACUGAAUUAUCUGCUCAGAGUGACUUUCCCAUUGUAAGAAACAUGAUCAUUAAGGACUUGUUUCACACAGAGAACUUACUUCCCCCAUCCUUUGUGGACAAAGUCAGGCAAGCUGCUGGGGUGGUAGUGGACGAAAUGGUGGAAAGUGUUGAGAACACACAGGAAGAUGGACAGGGUGCUUUUCAUCCUGACAACCUCCGAUCUGCUGUUAGGAAAUUGAGAAAAAUAAUUUCCACUGGGACCAUCCACAUGUUCAGUCAUGAAUUUGUGGAUAAAGUGAUAGCCCUUCAGGACAGCCACAGCACUCCACAGGUCUUAACAUUGGCAGCAGCCAGAAGUGCUUCAGACUCCAUUCUUUCAAGGCUGAAAUGGGGAAAGGAACAACGUGCCAUAUCCAGGAAGCUCUCCUCUCAGCUUCUCCAGAUAUUUGCCGAAGAGACAGUGAAGGGCUUCCUAAAACAGUGGUUAGAUGAGUAUGAAAAUAUCAACAUUGAUGUUUCAGUCCAGAAUGAACCAAGCACCUCUACUUGCAUGGUCUUUCCUAUCCAGCUCAAUCAGAGCAAGCCAGAGGAUAGUGACACAAUGAAUCAGCUCACGAAAGUCAUGGUCAACAAAAUGAUGGAUGCCUUAUCAGUUGGCUCAAGUCAUCAAAUGAUCACCAAAGCCAAUGCCAAAUGUUCUUUUGAGUCCGGUACCAGCAUGGCCACCAGAGACAUUGUAGAAGGGAUGUUGGAUUUGGUAAGGGAUAGCACCAGCAGUACUGGAGAGCAGAUCCCCAUCUUCAAGUCCAAGAAAAGCAAGAAAACCAUGUUCAGCAAGAUAUGCUUUAACAUAAAGGUAUAA
rnacentral:lncRNA from 1 species